GUGACACCUAGCAGUAUGUAGUGGUAACUCAGUAGAAUUGAAAUGAACAUCUAGAUGUAGUUAACGUGUGAUUCAAUCCCUCAAUCGUGAGUUUCGACUAGAUGGCAGGUCAUAGAUAAAUUAUCAAACCUUAACAUUAGUCAUAUGAUAGAUUCGAUCAGCUCAAGUCCAAAUGUGAUUCUUAUAAAAAUAUUUUUCCAUCAAUCAUACUACUGUGGCCACAGAUUCUCGAACUUAGUUUCUCAAAUCUCAUAGGACUACUCC
rnacentral:lncRNA from 1 species